UCUAAUAUGACAGAUUAUAUGUGAUGGAUUUAAACCCCAUUUAUAAAAGAUUUAUUCUUUUUUUUAGAA
rnacentral:tRNA from 1 species